UUAAUAACCAGCGCAGCAGGCCCCUUCACCUGCUUUUAUGCCUGGACCAGAUGACUGAAUGUAGAACUUUAGGCACUUUUUUUUUUUUUUGAGACGGAGUCUCGGUUUGUUGCCCAGGCUGGAGUGCAGUGGCGCAAUCUCGGCUCACUGCAAGCUCUGCCCCCCGGGUUCACGCCAUUCUCUUGCCUCAGCCUCCCAAGUAGCUGGGACUACAGACUCCCACCACCAUGCCCGGCUAAUUUUUAUAUUUUUUAGUAGAGACAGGGUUUCACCGUGUUAGCCAGGAUGGUCUCAAUCUCCUGACCUGGUGAUCCACCUGCCUUGGCCUCCCAAAGUGCUGGGAUUACAGGUGUGAGCCACCAGAUCGGCCCUUUAGGCACUUUCUACUUCUCAAGGUCAAGAAACAUCCUUUAAAAAGUUAAUUCCCUUUUCUGGAGCCUAAGCCAGAUCUUAUCUAGGCCUUGUGUUGCCAUCUGUUAGCAUUGAUUUCUGGAAUGGAGCAGCUUUCUCAAAGUUUGGUCUUGCUAGUCAUGAGGUCAUGUCAGUGUCUUAGGUCACUGCUGCUCACCUUCCUUACCCAGGGAGUAUACUGCAUAGGUUUCUGAACACCUGUUUUCAUUAUUCACUGUUCCUCUCACUGCCAAGAAUGGAGGGACCCUCAGUUGAAGAUCAAAUUGACUCUGAAGAAAAACUGGAGAUGUUUCUCUUGGAGUUUGGAUAGAGUAUUCACUUGAUAACAUGUUUUUCCCCUGCCUUGCUCUUCACAAGAACAUCUGGCCAGGCAUUAACAAUUAGUAAAUUUUUUUGCAUAUGAACAGUAUUUUUCUGGUCAUGUAGAUGGGUGCACAUGACACUAAACAGCAUUGUUUAGUGUUAUCCCUCUUAACUGGUGGGUUGUAUUUGGGGUGGAGGCUGUAGCCGAGGAGAAGACAUUCACCUCUGUACUCGAGAAACUUUGUGUAGGAAUUUAGUUUAUUUUUUUAUUUUUUUUAAUUUUUUAUUUUUUACUACUUUUACUGUUAGCACAAUGCUAUAAUUGAGCUAAUCUUUGUAGUUUGGUGCAGGACCACCAAGUUUGUGUGACCCAUUACCUACUUUUUCCAUGCUCAGCCAUUACCCUGUCCUGGGGCAUCUGAGGGCAGUAAGGAACAGGUGUCCAAAGGAGGAAUGUUGGUGCCUAUGAGUAUGUUUUCCAGUUGUAUUGAAUUUCUUACUUGGUGUAUUUUUGACUUGUCUUAGUUUCUUUCCUUGUGGUCUAUGCUAUUUUACUUGCGAUUUGUUGGAUAUUCUCCCUGUCAUUAAAGAGUUGUAAAAUGGAAGUUAGUUUCUCUAUGCAAAUGCUUUAAUGGAUGAAGCUGAUAGGUUUAGCAUUGAUUUUUGCUGGUGUCCUUCAACAAGCAUGAAGGUGAUAAAUGUGUUUCCAUGGCUUUAGACUCAUUUUUGAAGUCUUGGAUUGUGUGAACAUUCUUAGAAACAAUAAAAUGUUUUAAUUAAAAGCCCUCGACUACCAGCUGAAUUCAGUGUCUACUAGGAAAAUGGGUAGAUUUGUUACAUUGUCCCUUUGCUCUCUAUGACUUUGUUCCAGUUGUCAAGGAACUUAAAUGGGUAUUCAGGAAAAAGAAUUCUUGUUUCCCUUUCCUCACCUUGCCAGUUAAAUAACUCCUGGUGACACUUCAGGUGGUAGAAUUGAAACACAAACCUGACUUCUGACCACAUGGGUCAAAGGCAAAAGGCAAAUGGCUUCAAAGCCCUUAGUGUGCUUAUCCAGUUCAGGCAGUGAGGAGAUAACCUCUGCUUUCCUCCCUGAGGAGUUUGGAGUAUUUAAGGGGGGAUGGGGGGGGUGUCACUUUGAAAAUAUGUUGCUUUUUCUCCUGAUUGUAUUGAGGCUGAUAUGGAAGGGUUAUUUCUUUCUGGCCAAUACUUUUUGGUAUUUCUAAAUAUUGCAAUCUUGAUUUUUACUAUUAAAUUUGUUAAUUGUCAGUUCUGGCUUUUUUGCAUAAAGAGUUGGUCCAUUAACUUGCCAAUUUGAAGCUUCUAACUAGAUAUUCCCUACUGAAAGUUUUGGAUUUGUUUUUAGUUUGUGGAGCAGUCUUAGCUGGGGACAGGUAAUUGACAACGGCAGAGAUACUUUCUUUUCCUAGGAUUCUAAGUCUGUAAUCCACAUCCUCAAUGUAUUCACAGGACUUUAAAAUUCUCUCCAAAUGAGGAAGGAAAUAUCCUGUUGCUUUCUAAUGUUUACUAAAAGUUGUGUUUAGAACAACAGAUUUUAAUAGGCAUCUUCCUUUGUUAUGUGUCAUUAGCCCUUUGCCCGUUUACCUUAGGGCUCUUUGAAGGAGAAAUGGAUGGGAGAAAACCUGUCACUUGGCGAAAGUAAAAGGGAUAAUUAACUGGCUCAGAGCUUAUGUGCAGAGUUCCAAGCCCCAAAGUUAAUCUAGAACCACUCGAUAACACCAAUAAAAAUAUUUAUUUCACAUCUGUUAUAUAUCUGGAAAAUGUUCUAAGCAUCUUACACAUAUUUCUCAUUAAAUCCACAGGUGACCAUUGUGAGGUAGAUAUUUUGUUCUAAUUUUCCAGAUGAGGAAGCUGAGACCCUAAAAGGUUAGGUGACAGGUUAUACAACUUGGAGUGUGGGAGGAGGAGAGAGGAACCUGAACAGGGCAAGUUGGGGAUCUGACUUUUGUUUGGGUAGAUGUAGGCACAUUGUAUUUUUGGCUUAGAUGCUUUAUUCAUCAUGGCUGAAGGUAAUACCAUUUACUCACUCACCGAAAAUUGUUUACAAUAAUCUAGAUGAAUUUGCUGUCUUUGGACAUCUGUCUUUUGACUGGACCCCAGUAUAUAGUCUGUGGAAGCUCACUUAAGGAGAGAGCUCCUUUUUGUUUGGUUAGAGAAAUUUUCUGUCCUAAAAGUAGAAAUAGCCCCUUCUAGGUAAGGAUGGAGCAUUUGAUCAUACUGGUUUCAUUAUAUUCCUCUAACAGUUGGAACCGAUUGUUUUUGAGUACUUGUUUCAAACUUCUGAGUAUUUUCCUUCUGGAAAAUAGCUCAGUGUUUAAAAUUUACAUGAACUUAAAAGGUUAAUUUUUUUUUAAAGAAUGUUUGAGGAGCAAUCAAUUCUGAUUUUGUCUUAUGGAUAGAAAUAGAAUUAGCCAUUUUCCUCAAGAAAAGUGAUUCUUCUGAAUCUUAGCUUUUCAGUAAUGAGAACUGGACUGUUUCCACUUGACCUCUAUUUCCUGUUAGUGGGAAACCGCUUCCCAGAGGUGCUGUGUGAAAGAUUGCUGGGGAAAGGGUUUCUAGAUCCCAGCAUAACAAGUUCAAGAGUCCAGCGAUAUUGUCAUUAGAAUAAUGGUCUUCAUUAAGUACUAGUUUUCAUAAUCCUGAAGCUUCAUUUUCACCAAUUUGAAAGGCAGCUAGGGAGGAGAAGACUAUGCAGGGAAGGAGGAAAACUCUGGAGUGCAUCACAGAGACCUUGAGUGAGUUAAGGCAGGGAAGAAGCAGAUUUGCUAUCCACUGAAUGAAAAUAAGAAGAAUUCCAUUGUCCAAGGUCAGAGCAAGAACACAAAGGUUUUAGUUUACUUAGUUAAUUCCUUAGGUUUGGACAUUACAGGAGACAUGGGGGUGACCAUAGCAAUUUAGCUGAUAAAUGUAUCAGAAACUCUUUCAUCAUUUUCUGUCCCCUCCUAUCUUAGGCUGACCGGUUCCCUGAUGUGUUACCUGCUUCUGCUACUGAUCCAAACUGCAGAACUUCUCAUUCAUCCCCAAGGCCUCCAGGCAGUAUCCAAUGGGGAAUCAGCUCUAAAAGGAACCAGACCAACGUUUUCCAGCCCCUUCAUUCUGCUUCCCUCUGUGUGAGGAAAGGAUAGAAAUGUUCAGGACAUCAUCAUACAGGCUCCUCAUCUACAAAGUUCCAGUAGCAGUGACGCCUACACGGAAGACUUGGAACUGCAAACAGGCUGGGGUCACCUCAGUGACAUCUGACGCUGUCCAACCAGAAGUUCGAUUUUUGUUCUGGGGGUGAAGGAGGAAACAGACUGUACUAAAGGACUAAAAUAAUUUGUCUAU
ensembl:lncRNA novel transcript